rnacentral:rRNA from 1 species
UAUGUGAUCGUCUCUCGCAUAUCAAUAAGCGGAGGAAAAGAAACUAACAAGGAUUCCCCUAGUAACGGCGAGUGAAGCGGGAAGAGCCCAAAUUUGAAAUCUUAAAGGGUUUCCCUUUACGAAUUGUAGUUUAAAGAAGUGUUUUCUGUUGAGGUUUUGGUAAAAGUUCUUUGGAAUAGGACAUCAUAGAGGGUGAGAAUCCCGUAUUUGACCUUUACUUUCAACUUUGUGAUACACUUUCAAAGAGUCGGAUUGUUUGGGAAUGCAGUCCAAAAUGGGUGGUAAAUUUCAUCUAAAGCUAAAUAUUGGCGAGAGACCGAUAGCGAACAAGUACCGUGAGGGAAAGAUGAAAAGAACUUUGAAAAGAGAGUUAAACAGUACGUGAAAUUGUCAAAAGGGAAGCGUUUGACACCAGUGUUGUUUUUCUGAAAAUCAAUUAAAGAACUGUUUAUGCUAAGCUGUUUAGACUUUAUCAGCUAACUGUUUAGUUUUGAGCUUUUCUUUAAUGCACUUUUCAGUUAACAAGUCAACAUCAAUUUCUUUUGCUGUAAAAAAGCUUGAGGAAGGUGGCUUGAGAUUCGUCUUAAGUGUUUAUAGCCUCUUGCCUAUGCAGUCGGAGAGAUUGAGGUCUGCAGCGUAGAUCCUUCGGGGCUAAAUGCAUUUGUGCUAAGUUAUAGCAUUUUAUAGACAACUUGUUGACUAUGAUUUGUCUUGUAGCUUACUCGCUUAUGUUAUUUUACCUACGCUUAGGAUGUUGACACACGCGCGUGCUCG